CUCCCGUGCUGCUGCUGGGACAUUUGGGUUAAAUGGCAUCGGCAUGCAGUUCAACAUCACAUCUCAUUAAGUCCACUAAUAUAUUUCUAAUUUAUGGCAUCAA